UGCAGUCGAGCGCACCCUUCGGGGCGAGCGGCGGACGGGUUAGUAACGCGUGGGAACAUACCCUUUUCUAUGGAAUAGCCUUUGGAAACGAAGAGUAAUACCAUAUACGCCCUUCGGGGGAAAGAUUUAUCGGAGAAGGAUUGGCCCGCGUAAGAUUAGAUAGUUGGUGGGGUAAUGGCCUACCAAGUCUACGAUCUUUAGCUGGUUUUAGAGGAUGAUCAGCAACACUGGGACUGAGACACGGCCCAGACUCCUACGGGAGGCAGCAGUGGGGAAUCUUAGACAAUGGGCGCAAGCCUGAUCUAGCCAUGCCGCGUGUGUGAUGAAGGCCUUAGGGUCGUAAAGCACUUUCGCCAGAGAUGAUAAUGACAGUAUCUGGUAAAGAAACCCCGGCUAACUCCGUGCCAGCAGCCGCGGUAAUACGGAGGGGGUUAGCGUUGUUCGGAAUUACUGGGCGUAAAGCGCGCGUAGGCGGCUUUGCAAGUAGGGGGUGAAAUCCCGGGGCUUAACCCCGGAACUGCCCUCUAAACUGCAGAGCUAGAAUCCUGGAGAGGUGAGUGGAAUUCCUAGUGUAGAGGUGAAAUUCGUAGAUAUUAGGAAGAACACCAGUGGCGAAGGCGACUCACUG
rnacentral:rRNA from 1 species